rnacentral:rRNA from 1 species
AUUGAACGCUGGCGGCAGGCUUAACACAUGCAAGUCGAGCGGAGAUGAGGUGCUUGCACCUUAUCUUAGCGGCGGACGGGUGAGUAAUGCUUAGGAAUCUGCCUAUUAGUGGGGGACAACAUUCCGAAAGGAAUGCUAAUACCGCAUACGCCCUACGGGGGAAAGCAGGGGAUCUUCGGACCUUGCGCUAAUAGAUGAGCCUAAGUCGGAUUAGCUAGUUGGUGGGGUAAAGGCCUACCAAGGCGACGAUCGGUAGCGGGUCUGAGAGGAUGAUCCGCCACACUGGGACUGAGACACGGCCCAGACUCCUACGGGAGGCAGCAGUGGGGAAUAUUGGACAAUGGGCGGAAGACUGAUCCAGCCAUGCCGAGUGUGUGAAGAAGGCCUUUUGGUUGUAAAGCACUUUAAGCGAGGAGGAGGCUACCUGGAUUAAUACUCUAGGAUAGUGGACGUUACUCGCAGAAUAAGCACCGGCUAACUCUGUGCCAGCCGCCGCCGUAAUAC